CCAAAUCGGCAGCUUCUCCACACUCGAUCCACCGCCGAUAGAUUUUUUCGUUUGUAUUUAUAAUUUCCAGAGCGGCUGAGCUCAGUCAUGUAUGCGUCAUGUUCGAAGACAUUAAAUUCAUAAACAAGGAAACAUUAAAUACACACAAUCCCUGUGCUAAUUAUUCAUUGUAGGCAAGCUCGGACGAACGGGAAUACUAAAAUGUGUACACAAUUUGAACCAAUUUUCAAAAUCGAAAUUCUAUACAAUGAUGCUUUUUAAUACUCACAUUUGUCUUAAAUGGGAAUGCCCUUUUUUUUCGGCACCAGAUUCGGAUGGUCCUAUUUUGUAUUUUUUUUUUCGUCUUUUAAUAUUAUAACAUAAUUUGUGUAAUUUUAUUUUGCAUUUUAUUACCUACCUAUCAUUUUCACGUCCAUAAAACAGUCGUCAAACGUCGUCACUUUUAAAGUCGCGCGUGACUUUUCGAACGAAAUAUCGUAUAGUCGUGGUGUCGUUGUAAGUACUCACUGAUAGGAAUUAUCAAUUUCGUAGAAAUGAUAUUCAAC